AUGCUGUACAUUCCUUAUCAACACAGUUUAAAGCAUUACUACUGUCUGUCGCUGCUUCAUCUAACGUGUUUCAUCAGGAAGUGUGUAGAAGAUGUAGUGCCGACAAAAACAAUCCACAUCUACCCCAACCAAAAACCGUGGAUUAAUAGCGAUGUUCGAGCAGCCUUGUCAGCGCGGACAUCCGCUUUUAAAUCCGGAAACGCUGAUGAUCGCAAACAAGCCAGUUACGAUCUCAGGAAAUCCAUCAAAGCCGCAAAAAGACAAUACAAAAACAAAGUUGAAGAACAAUUUAACGCAGCGAGAUUGUUCUUCAAGUUUUUUUUAUUUUACUGUUUGCUUCGUGAUGAGAGGAAUAAGACAUAAUUCACCCCAAAAAGAUGUGAUGUGGUUGAGGAUUUGAGAUUUGGAUUUCCUCAGAAAAAAAGAAUGAAGCACUUUAUUCAGCAGAGAUCAGAAACAUGAGUAAGUCUCUUUUUAUUUAUUUAUAUACUUGUACUAGUUUUCACAUAACGUGUAAACAUUUUUACUAGUUAGACUUUUUUUCCAAAGACUUUUUUUUUCAAACUAUAAUUCCUGACUAAAUGUAUAAUCAAGUGAAAUAUUAUGAAGUUUCAAUAACAAUAUACACUACUAUACCAUUCAAAAGCUUGAUGUAAAUAAUAUAAAUGUACCAAUAAAUGUAACUGCAACAAAUGUAACAAUCAUUGCUGUUCUUUCAAUUUAUCCCCCCUAAAAAACCUGAAAAAAAUAUUCUCAGCUCUUUUCAACAUUAAUAAUAAUAAUAAUGAUGAUGAUAAUAAUAACAAUAAAUGUUUUUUUUUUUUGUAGAAAAUAAGAUUGUUAAAAGGAUUUCUGAAGGAUUGUGUGACUGGAGUAAUGAUGCAAAAAAUUCAGUUUGAAAGUCAGCUUUGAUUUUUCCUAAUAAACUGUUUAACUGCACUCACAAGUGAAUAUUAAAUUAUGUUGUGGGAUAAUUAAAUAUAUUCUAAAUAAACUACAAACAUAAAAUUAUAUACAUUUAUUUUGUCCUCACAUUCUUUCUUGUAACUCACCCCUCUCAGUGACACAGCUGCCUGAAUGGCUCAUUAUGCAGCUCAUUAUGCAGGCCUUUGUCUUCUCAGGUGUGAAUUCAUGAUAGUUGACGCCUACUCGCAUAUGACUUUUACCAACAAAAAGUGUCUUAGAAAAUUUAAAUCAAUAUAUUGUUUUCUGUAAGUGAGUAAACAAGAUGAUUUCACAUCAUUUAGAAAAAAAAAUUCUAGGCUACAAGCUCCAGUUCUCAAAAUUCCUGGGAACCAAUUUUCUGUAUGUGUUUUAUUGCCUUUUUCAAGUGAUUUAACAUUUUUAGUUGUUCACUAACCACGCAUAACAUUUUUUUUCUCAAAAACACAAUCAUGUACAUACAUGCUGCUCACAUAUUAUUAUAGCCCAGUUUGUGCUGAUUACAGUGAGAUUAGACUUUAGCCAUUUAGAUAUUUAUAAGAAACUGAAAAAAGCACAAAUGUCAGGGCAUGACAAAACUUCUCCAGGCCCCAAAAAUACCCUUAGACACCAGAGGGUUAAUAGAGUUAUACAUGGUCCUUAGCAGUGCAGUUUUACUAGAAAUUA
ensembl:lncRNA